AGCGAACGCUGGCGGCAGGCCUAACACAUGCAAGUCGAACGAAGUCUUCGGACUUAGUGGCGGACGGGUGAGUAACACGUGGGAACGUGCCUUUAGGUUCGGAAUAACUCAGGGAAACUUGUGCUAAUACCGAAUGUGCCCUUCGGGGGAAAGAUUUAUCGCCUUUAGAGCGGCCCGCGUCUGAUUAGCUAGUUGGUGAGGUAAAGGCUCACCAAGGCGACGAUCAGUAGCUGGUCUGAGAGGAUGAUCAGCCACAUUGGGACUGAGACGCGGCCCAAACUCCUACGGGGGGCAGCAGUGGGGAAUCUUGCGCAAUGGGCGAAAGCCUGACGCAGCCAUGCCGCGUGAAUGAUGAAGGUCUUAGGAUUGUAAAAUUCUUUCACCGGGGACGAUAAUGACGGUACCCGGAGAAGAAGCCCCGGCUAACUUCGUGCCAGCAGCCGCCGUAA
rnacentral:rRNA from 1 species